CCGAUAUAGCUCAGCUGGUAGAGCAACUCAUUCGUAAUGAGUAGGUCGCGGGUUCGAAUCCCACUAUCGG
rnacentral:tRNA from 1 species